rnacentral:rRNA from 14 species
GGUGGAGCAUGUGGUUUAAUUCGAUUCAACGCGAAGAACCUUACCAGGGCUUGACAUACUACAGAUCUUUUAGAGAUAAAAGAGUGCCUUCGGGAAUGUAGAUACAGGUGGUGCAUGGCUGUCGUCAGCUCGUGUCGUGAGAUGUUGGGUUAAGUCCCGCAACGAGCGCAACCCUCGCCUUUAGUUGCCAUCAUUUAGUUGGGCACUCUAGAGGGACUGCCGGUGAUAAGCCGGAGGAAGGUGGGGAUGACGUCAAGUCCGCAUGGCCUUUAUGCCCAGGGCUGCACACGUGCUACAAUGGCCGGUACAAUACGAUGCAAUACCGCAAGGUGGAGCAAAUCGCAAAAGCCGGCCCCAGUUCGGAUUGCAGGCUGCAACUCGCCUGCAUGAAGUUGGAAUCGCUAGUAAUCGCGUAUCAGCCAUGACGCGGUGAAUAUGUUCCUGAGCCUUGUACACACUGCCCGUCAAGCCACGAAAGCGAGGAGUGCUCGAAGUCGUUUUGUCUAACCUUCGGGAGGACGGCGCCGAAAGCAAGCUUCGUGAUUGGGA